AAAGUUUUACCUGCGUACUGUGGCUUUUUAGGUAGUAUGUAGUCACCUAGAUAAUACUUAGUCCUGCCUUGAGUGCAGGGGACUGGACUAGAUGACCUCUCGAGGUCCCUUCCAGUUCUGAUUCUUUGUACAUGUCCUAGACAGUCUCAUUGAACUUCUGUGCAUAUUUUGCAUGUAUAAGGAUUGCAGGAUGGGUUGAGGCUUAUAUGACCAAGGCAACGUCAUUCAUUUUUUUCAUUACAAACAUAACACAAUAAAAAACUCUUCUUAGACUUUAUGGUCCAAUGCAGUAUAAAUUUUAAGUAUGUAAGUAAUCCCAUUCAGCUCAGUGAGUCUACUCAUGCUUAAAGUUAUACACAUACUUAAUUGCUUUGUUGGAUCAGGGACUUAAUGGCUAGAUUUUUUCAGCCUUUUGUGUAUUGACAUGGUUUAUCUGAUAAUUCUGAAUUCUUCAAAAAGUAAUUUUAAGUAUUUGUAAGAUGUUUGGCCUGACUUAUUAUUUACUACCUUACACACAUUAAUUUAUUACAUAUAAAAUCCUAUUCAGAGCAGACUGUAGUAGGCACUCUUAAGACAGCUAUGAAUAGAAGACUUCUGCCCUGAAGAGCUUACAAUCCAAGCCACUGAUUCUGCACUGUGAUCCCUGGGGUCAGACUGCUGCCUGUGUAUGAGGAAGUCCUAUUGAUUUCAGCAGGGCUUUGUGCAGAUUCAGCAGUCCUCCCAUGCUGAUUACAGUGUAAGACUGGGAUCAAAAUAGACAAAUGAGGAAAAGAUGUAAUGGAUAUCAAUGCUAUUUAAUGACAAUGGUAAGCACACAGCUUAGUAAUACUUGAUUUAUGUUUGUGCACAUCUUUUUUCAGUAACCUGAAGAGAUGGCUGACUAGGGUUUAUAGCCCUCCAUGAAGAACUACAUUUGAAGGACUGAAUGGUUCAGAGGCUAGUAGUGGGACAAAGUUUUUUGCUUUGUCAUCAAUGGUCUUGCACCAUUCCUGGCAGACAGUUGUCCAUAUUAAUGAUAGGUAAACUUUGAAAAGAGACAUUGCUGAAAAUAAAUGCUACUCUAAAAAUGGGUAUGAAGUUACACAGUAACACAGAGGGACAGAUUUUUAAAGGUACUUAGGCAUACAACUCCCAUUGAUUUCCAUGGGAGAUAGGUGCCUUGGCAUUUUGAAAAUCCUAUCAGCAUCUGAAGGCCUACAUACCUUUAAAAAAUCUGGCCCUGAGCCUAUGUCUAAGAAAACUUAGGUAUAGAGUCACUAUAUACCAAUGAGCACCUUAGUAGGCAACCCUCUGUAUCAAGCAACCACUUUAAGGUAUCUGUAAAACUUCAGUAUGAUUUUUGAUCAAUCUUUAGUUAGAGAAUCGCUCAUUUAAGCAACUGACAGCUGUUGGUCUCUUAAGUGGUCAUUUAAGAACGAUUACACUGCAUGCUUAAAGGACCAGAAAUCUAUUGUUGUGUUCUGAGUGGUAAAGGAUUUCACAGAAAUGUUUAGGCAGUUUGAUUUUAGAUCUUAGCAUUAAGCAGUUGUAAAAAUUAAGAGGCUACAUCUGUUGUUGAAUCUGUCACAGAUGCAAGAGCUGACACUACAAAGGAUAGAAGUGUUGGAAUGGGUCAAGCAAUCUUCGCUCACCAAGAGGUAAGGCUUUCUUCUACCUGUGUGGAACAGUCGUCAUGAGCUGGACUGGAAAAGCCACUAUCUGUUAUGUCCUGCUGCUACUGAUAUACUACGAUUACAAUAAGUGUGUAGUUCUCAGAAUCUGGCAAGCUGCUUCCAUGUCUUCUAGCUGGCAAGCCCUAAAAAUCUUUUCCCCCAAAUGGGUACAUCCGGGAAUGGACAGGAGUAUGAGAAGUGACAUGACACCAAUGCAAUUUUGUUUCCUGAGCAGCUGUCACCUGACUUAAUACCCUUUUUAGAUCUAUGAAAACCACAUGCAGUGGUUGGUGGUGUUCCGGUGUCUUUUUCUGGAGCUCUUGGACACUGGACAAGAUGUCAGUGGUACUAUUUCCUGCCCCAAAACCACAAUGGCUCUUGAGUAAAACAAACUGAUUCUGUGUUGCUAUUUCUGAUAAGUUCAUUGCAAGGUUCUAACCUUCAUGGCUGCAGAAAACUGCCUGAAAACACAAACUGAGUACACCCUAAAGGCUCUGAAGACAAAUAAAAAUACCUCAACAUUGAUUAUUUUUUAAAUCUCGUGAUUUCCACUUAUGAUCUUAUAGGGCUUGAGUCAUGAUUUUUGAAUGCUUGGAGAUGGCAAUACUGACCAUCAUCUGCUUGGAUCUCAAGCAAUCUGUGUGCUU